rnacentral:antisense_RNA from 1 species
GAAAGUACGACAUUGCUCACAUUGCUUCCAGUGUUUAUUUUAUAGGCCAGCUUGAUGCUGGCUUUUUUUU